rnacentral:rRNA from 1 species
AUGGGCUGCUGCCAGUCGAGGCUGGAGCGCCAGGAGGCGGUGUCGCGCUGCAAGGCGCGCCGCCGCUACACCAAGCACCUCGUGCAGGCGCGCCGGGACAUGGCCGCCUCCCACGCGCUCUACCUCCGCUCGCUGCGGGCCACGGGCGCCGCGCUGCUCCAGUUCGCCACCGCCGAGGCCGACAACCCGCACCCGCACCCGCGCCCGACCCACCACCAGCGCCACCAGCCGCCGCCCUCCCCGCCUCCGCCGCCGCCCCCUCCGCCGCCGCCGCCGCCCCCGCCGCUCAGCCCCGCGCGGACCGCCAGCUCCUGGACCACCACCACCUCCUCCACCAUCAGCGCCUCGCAAAUCCUGCCGCCCCCUCCCCCUCCGCCCCCGCCGCCGCCGGCCCCAAUGCCGUCCAGCUGGGACUUCUGGGACCCCUUCGCGCCCUCCUCCUCCCGCUCCCCCGCCGACGCCGCCGCCGAAUGGGACGACGCGGCCACCUCCCUCGCCGAAUCCCCCCGCGCCGCGCCGCCGCCCGUCGUCGUCACGGCCAAGGCCGCCCAGGCCCAGCCCCCGGCGCCGUCCGUCGUCACCACCACCACAUCCACCGCCAGCGAGCUCACCGUCGUCGCCCUGCCCCGCGGCGGCGGCGCGGCCGGGAAGAAGGACCUCGCCGAGAUCGCCACCGAUAUCGACGAGUACUUCCUCAAGGCCGCCGACGCCGGCGCCCGCGUCGCCGCGCUGCUCGAGGCCCCAAUCUGCGAGCUCCCCAACGCCAACAACAGCCUCCCAGGGAGGGUGAUGAGCUACGGCAAGAACCUGAAGCCGACGGGAUGGUCGUGGGGCGGCGGCGGAGGAGGGUACGGGAAAGGCAGCAGCAAUGGCUUCUCCAGGUUCGGGACAGGAGACGAAGGCAUGAUGGGCAAUGGCGGAGGCAGUGGGAUCCUCAGCCACUCCUCCACCGUCGAGAGGCUCUACGCCUGGGAGAAGAAGCUGUUUCUUGAGGUCAAGAACUACGAGGGGCUUAAGCAGGAGCAUGACAAGAAGGUGGGGCUGCUGAGGAAGCAGGAGGUGAGGGGCGUGGACUACCUCAAGAUGGAGAAGAACAGGAUGGAGAUGGAGAGCCUCGAAUCCAAGAUGCUGGUGGCCACCCAGUCCAUCGACACCACCACCUCCGAGAUCAUCAGGCUCAGAGAAUCCGAGCUGUUCCCUCAGCUACUUGAGCUGGUUGCUGGCUUGAUGAGCAUGUGGAGGGGCAUGUAUGAGUGCCAUCAGGUACAGACCCACAUGGUGCAGCAGCUUGAAUACCUGACCAUGAGCACCAGCCCAACCUCCAAUGACCACCGGCAAGCGGCGCUCCAGCUCGAGAUCGAGGUGGACAGGUGGUACUCGGCGUUCUGCAGCCUGGUUAAGUCCCAGAGAGAUUAUGUCUACUCGCUGACCGGCUGGCUUCGCCUCUCCCUGUUCCAAUGCCUUCACAACCCACUCAUGAAAGACAUACAGAACUCCGACAUCUACAGCCUGUGCGAGGAGUGGCAGCUGGCCAUCGACCGGAUCCCCGACAAGGUGGCCUCGGAAGGGAUCAAAACCCUCCUUUCAGUGAUCCACGCCGUGGUAGUCCAGCAGGCGGAGGAGCAGAAGCAGAAGAAGAGGUCAGAUGCUGCAUUCAAAGACUUUGAGAAGAAGACAGAGGAACUGCGAUCCCUGGAGUCCAAAUACGGGCCGUACUCUGCUGAAGGCUAUGGAGAGAUGACGCGGAAGACACCGGUAGCAGAGAAGCGGGCGAAGGUGGAGGCCCUGAGGAGCAGGGUGGACGACGAGAAGACCAAGCACGAGAAGAGCGUCGGGGUGACGAGGGCGAUGACCCUGAACAACCUCCAGACAGGGUUCCCCAACGUCUUCCAGGCGAUGACGGGCUUCGCCAGCGUCUGCAUGGAGGCGUUCGAGUCGGUGUACAACUUCAAGCGGAGCUCGGACCGGGCGCUCGACAUGAAGAGGCUGCUGACCUGA